rnacentral:rRNA from 1 species
GACGAACGCUGGCGGCGUGCUUAACACAUGCAAGUCGAACGGAAAGGCCCUGCUUUUGUGGGGUGCUCGAGUGGCGAACGGGUGAGUAACACGUGAGUAACCUGCCCUUGACUUUGGGAUAACUUCAGGAAACUGGGGCUAAUACCGGAUAGGAGCUCCUGCUGCAUGGUGGGGGUUGGAAAGUUUCGGCGGUUGGGGAUGGACUCGCGGCUUAUCAGCUUGUUGGUGGGGUAGUGGCUUACCAAGGCUUUGACGGGUAGCCGGCCUGAGAGGGUGACCGGGCACAUUGGGACUGAGAGACGGACCAGAAUCCUACGGGAGGCAGCGGUGGGGAAUAUUGCACAAUGGGGGGAAGCCUGAUGCAGCAACGCCGCGUGCGGGAUGACGGCCUUCGGGUUGUAAACCGCUUUCGCCUGUGACGAAGCGUGAGUGACGGUAAUGGGUAAAGAAGCACCGGCUAACUACGUG